rnacentral:rRNA from 1 species
AGGGCUCGCAGGCGGUUUUUUAAGUCUGAAGGUGAAAGCCCCCGGCUUCAACCGGGGAGGGUCAUUGGAAACUGGGGAACUUGAGUGCAGAAGAGGAGAGUGGAAUUCCACGUGUAGCGGUGAAAUGCGUAGAGAUGUGGAGGAACACCAGUGGCGAAGGCGACUCUCUGGUCUGUAACUGACGCUGAGGAGCGAAAGCGUGGGGAGCGAACAGGAUUAGAUACCCUGGUAGUCCACGCCGUAAACGAUGAGUGCUAAGUGUUAGGGGGUUUCCGCCCCUUAGUGCUGCAGCUAACGCAUUAAGCACUCCGCCUGGGGAGUACGGUCGCAAGACUGAAACUCAAAGGAAUUGACGGGGGCCCGCACAAGCGGUGGAGCAUGUGGUUUAAUUCGAAGCAACGCGAAGAACCUUACCAGGUCUUGACAUCCUCUGACGAUCCUAGAGAUAGGACGUCCCCUUCGGGGGCAGAGUGACAGGUGGUGCAUGGUUGUCGUCAGCUCGUGUCGUGAGAUGUUGGGUUAAGUCCCGCAACGAGCGCAACCCUUGAUCUUAGUUGCCAGCAUUCAGUUGGGCACUCUAAGGUGACUGCCGGUGACAAACCGGAGGAAGGUGGGGAUGACGUCAAAUCAUCAUGCCCCUUAUGACCUGGGCUACACACGUGCUACAAUGGACAGAACAGAGGGCAGCGAAACCGCGAGGUUAAGCCAAUCCCACAAAUCUGUUCUCAGUUCGGAUCGCAGUCUGCAACUCGACUGCGUGAAGCUGGAAUCGCUAGUAAUCGC